AGUGAACGCUGGCGGUAGGCCUAACACAUGCAAGUCGAACGGCAGCACAGUAAGAGCUUGCUCUUACGGGUGGCGAGUGGCGGACGGGUGAGGAAUACAUCGGAAUCUACUUUUUCGUGGGGGAUAACGUAGGGAAACUUACGCUAAUACCGCAUACGACCUACGGGUGAAAGCAGGGGAUCUUCGCACCUUGCGCGAUUGAAUGAGCCGAUGUCGGAUUAGCUAGUUGGCGGGGUAAAGGCCCACCAAGGCGACGAUCCGUAGCUGGUCUGAGAGGAUGAUCAGCGACACGGGAGCUGAGACACGGUCCAUACGCCUACGAGAGGCAGCAGUGGCGAAUAUUGGACAAUGGUCGCAAGCCUGAUCCAGCCAUACCGCGUGGGUGAAGAAGGCCUUCGGGUUGUAAAGCCCUUUUGUUGGGAAAGAAAAGCAGCAGGUUAAUACCCCGCUGUUCUGACGGUACCCAAAGAAUAAGCACCGGCUAACUUCGUG
rnacentral:rRNA from 1 species